GAAAGUUUUUGUAUAGGUUCCAUGAAGUGGGUAGAACACAAGAAAAAUAGUGGAUUCUGUUUUCUGGUAGUUUACAUGUCUGUAAAAAUUUGCUCUUUUAAUUAGUGAAUAAAACUUCUAGGAAUUUUAAUAAUUUAUUUGUAUGUCCAAAAAUCACCAAAAAUUGUGGGGAGCCUCUGAAUAUUAUUCCCUGGCUCCACACAAAAUUUGGUGGCAUUUGGAUAAUAUUUGAUUAAAAUACUAAUAAAUCCUUAUUUAGCACUUAAAUAAUAAUUCCAAAAUAAUUAAAUAGUGAUUAUUUAGAUCUUCAUAAUUAGGGUUGAGUGAUUUUGGGAUUGUGGG
rnacentral:lncRNA from 1 species